CCCUUAGAUGUUCUGGGCUGCACGCGUGCUACAAUGAAGCGUCCAACAAGAUGCGAAGCCGAAAGGCUCAGCGGAUCUUUGAAGUCGUUUCGUGACCGGGACAGUUGAUUGCAAUUAUUCGACUCGAACGAGGAAUUCCUUGUAAUCGCGAUUCAUCAUAUCGCGCUGAAUACGUCCCUGCCCUUUGUACACACCGCCCGUCGCUCCUACCGAUUGAGCGAUCCGGUGAAUUAUUUGGAGUGUCCACGCAAGCCAAUCCGUUUACGUGGGUGCGAAAUUUUGUAAACCUUAUCGCUUAGAGGAAGGAAAAGUCAUAACA
rnacentral:rRNA from 1 species